rnacentral:tRNA from 1 species
UCCCUGGAGGACUAGUGGUUAGGCCUUGGCGCUCACACCACCGCAGCCUGGAUUCGAUUCCCUGCCAGGGAA